UGACGUGUCAAAAUGGACGGUGGAAGAUGUUGUGCAUUGGCUUCAUAUUAAUGGAUUGGGGGACCACAAAUCAACAUUCUAAGAUUUUUAGACAACAAUCAUGGCAUGGUAGUGCUUUAAUCAUGAUCAGGUAUCCAACCUGUAGGCAGUACCAUGAUGUUUGUGCUGCACUGGUGUCUAAACAUCCUUUCCUCCGAGAUCGCACAGGACAAGGAUAUGAGUCUUGGCUGGGAAUGCCGAGAAAUAAGUUCAAAAAGGAGUGAAUCCCACUUGUCAGUCCUGAUGUAGAGUUUCACAGAGAGAAGUAUGGCAAAAGGAGACUUUCAGUGUCAGCAGAAGGGAACUCAUCACAGCCACAACAACCAGCAAAGAAAGUCACGGUGGCUGCUAGUGAUGAUGCUGCAAUGCAAGGCCAUAGCUCUGCAACCUCUAUUAUCAAGACACCUGCUGGUAAGGAUGGAGAUGCUCUCGGCCACACCUUCGUCAUUGCCAGUGGAUUUGAAGACGGCUAUAGUGUAGAGCUGCACAUCACAAAAAUUGAAGAGGAGUGUAAAAAGGCCCAUCCAAAUAUGGACAUGCUGAAGGAGAAAAUGAAGAAGACAUUUGCAGAAAGAGAACGCUUCAUUCAGAGCCACUCCACCAGUGACGUUCUUCAGGAGUUCCCAGCUUUACAGCAUAUCAGCAUUGUGAGUUCAAACCCCGCAUGGAGCUACUUAAGUUUAACUUUUAAUAGGUUACUCUUUCAGACAAAUCUGUAAUCUAUGGAAGUAAUUAUCUUUUAGAUUUUCUCUGAAAUGGAACACAUUCAUAAAGUGGAUGUGGACAAAUUCUUGCUGGAGGGCUUUGGGAGAGCAGCUGACAAAAUCAUUGCAGUGGUCAGGAGAAGGAACCUGGGUGAAGAUAUCCUACACAUGUACCAGAGUACACUGAGCCAGGACUGCGUGGAGACACACAAAGUUAUUUAUUUGAGGUUUUUCAAAUAAAUUUAGCCAUCAUUGCUAUAAAACUGAUCCAAGUUUUUUUAAAUUUAGGCCUCAAAGUAAGUGCUGCAAUGCUGCUGCUCCCUCACCUUUUCAAUGAGGAUUCUUACAGGCUGUACGCAAUUGACAAGUGAGCAAUGGCAGCGCGUAUUUUAGAAGUGAAAUGGCAGAGAGGGGAACGUCCACCCGAAGACGACCAGGAUCUGACAUUACCUCUAAAGAAACAACGGUUGUUGGCGAAGACAUUGUCGGAUAAAGAAAGGGACAGAACUCGGAUUAACAUUGGCCUUGCAUUUCCAAGGUGGAGAGCACUGCAAGAGCUAAAGGGGCUACAAUCUGACUCGGAGCUAGCUCUUCUUCUCCUGGACAGGUGGUGAAGGCUCCUACACCUGUGCUGCUUGUCAGUGGGAACCCCUUCAAUGCAGACAGUGACAUCUCCCUGCGCUUGGACGGAGUUGAAAUAGCAAAGCCUGACGACAUCACAAUGGGAGUUGGUGCCCUAUUUGCAGUCUAUUUCAUUUCAGGUUUGCUGAAAAAUUAAGGAAGACUCUAAUUUUUCUGCAGCGGUGCAUGAUUGGGAGUAAAUCUAAUGAAAAGGUUCUAGCAGGGGUAAUUAAAAUGGCAAAUUUCUUGUUCUAAGUGAAUCUAUACUGGAAUCAUAUCAUAUAAUAUAUGAUUCCUGUAAUAUUUUGUAUUGACUUUAUUGUAUUUUUUCGUGUAAUAUUUUGCAUUUAUUGAUUUUAUUGUAUUUAUUAGUGUACUAUUUUGCAUUUAUUGACUUUAUUGUAUUUAUUAGUGUAAUAUUUAGUAUUUAUUGAAUCUAUUCCUGUAAUAUUUUGCAUGUAGUGAAUUUAUUUAAUUUAUUCCUGUAAUAUUUCUUAUUUGUUGUA